rnacentral:rRNA from 1 species
UGUGCGGGCUAAUCGAGCACAGCUCGUAGGUGCUGUGUAGCUCUUCCUAUUCUAGGGGGAGCAGCGACAUCUGUCUGGGAUCGGGCGUUUUAAGGGGAGAGGGUGAGUGCAAAGAGGACUCUCGGAGCACGGGCUCGAUGGUAGCUACGCGGCAGCGGCAGGGGCACCGGUGACCGGAGGGGCCGCCGGCCCUCGAACAGGUCCCUGAAGGAUCAGUGGCUGAGGCAGUAGAGGCACGUAGGCAAGCUGGCCUCGGCGUGAUAUGCGAGCCCUAGCUCGACUAAAAGACGGUGCCGGCAGCAGAGAGCAGCAGCUCGAGCAGCGUAGGCCAGCGGGGGCGCGGAGGUUAGGUGCAGAUGCUCGAACCACUACUGCCUAGGGUCCUCGGUCUGCUGUGGUGACUACUGAUGACGAUGGGGCUCCCACGGAUGAUGAUGCACUACUGGCGACUGCUGAACCUCAUCAAUCCUCCGAGGGUCCGUCCUCCGGAAUGGAAAAACUGGCUACAACGAAACACGAUCGGAAAAAUUCCUUUUGAACAAAUUGAGUACAGACAUGAGUCUAUUACAACGAAGGCGACUGAGAACACAUAAGCUCGAAUACAUAAGCUCGGGAGCUCCGGGGACUGAACAUUAUAUUUCGAACAUAAUAAAAUUAAACACAGAUCUCAACACAACAC